AUGCAUCUGACACAGGUUUUGCCACGACACCCACCAGGGCCCCACGUCCUUCUAAAGUGUCUCUGGUUGACACUACUCCAGAGUCUACUCAGCCACACUUGCCAAAGCCGGGGUCGGGACGCCUCCUGCCACAAAGGUUGCCGCUGCCCUGGCAAUAGUUUGGUGAGUCUGAGAAGAGUGGGGAUCUGGGGGGCAGAAGGCGGAUUCCGAGGCCAGCACUCUGCUCAGGGCCUGGGAGGUUUAGGAAGGGGGUGGGCUCACAAAGCCAGGCUCCAGGGCUUUGUGAGGGUUCUGAGCCCCAUCUUAGAGCUCAACAGUGACAAACCAUAUCCACUCUCACCCCACCCCCACCGUGGCUCCAGGGUGCAGACAAUGUCAACUCCACAUCGGGGAGCAAGAAACUGAUGCCCAGGGAUGUCAGGUGGCUUUCCAAGGGCACAGCUGAGAGAGAGGAUGUGAUGAGGGCUGACACAGGCUUCCAGCCCCCCUCCUUGGUAUUUCGCUGCACCCUGAUGCCUUCGGGCCACAUUCUGUGGCUGAACCUCUUCCCAUCUAGCCGUGCUUAUGAAGAAAAUCCAGGACGAGGAUUUCCACUUCUGGGAUCAGAUCUCUACCUUCCUCUUCCAACCCACUGUGCCCUGGAUCCCACCCUGACUGGGGGCCUUCUCCCAGCACCCAGCACCACCCCCUGGUUCCUCAGCUGCUCUCUCUCUCCUUUAUGAUAAUUCACAAUGUUCUGGAACUUUUCCCCAGUGCUACUUCAACUGUAUCCUCAUUGUGUUUCCUCCCUGUUUCCCAGACCUUGACUUGGAUGUCAGAAAGGCUGUGGAAAAAUCCAUAGCAUGGAGAUCAGGAAAGCUGAGUUCUAGAACUUUCCAGCAGUCAAAAGAUUAUCUUUAACAAUAGUAAUAAUCACAGUUGUGGGGAUGGUUUCACAGAAGCUGCAGUAUUCCAAAGCGGGACACAGGCUUUGGAAGCCCAGGUCAGUCUCUCACUGGCUAUGUCAUCCUGCCCAUCGCCCAUUGCCCACCUGAGCCUUUAUCU
rnacentral:lncRNA from 1 species